GACGAACGCUGGCGGCGUGCCUAAUACAUGCAAGUCGAACGCAGUGGGGACGGGUGAGUAACACGUGGGUAACCUCCCAUCAGAGGGGAUAACACUUGGAAACAGGUGCUAAACCGAUAUCGAUGGAUGGACCCGCGGUGAAUUAGCUAGUUGGUGAGGUAACGGCUCACCAAGGCCACGAUGCAUAGCCGACCGGAGAGGAUGAUCAGCCACACUGGGACUGAGACCCGGUCCAGACUCCUACGGGAGGCAGCAGUGGGGCAUAUUGCACAAUGGGCGCAAGCCUUAUGCAGCCAUUCCGCGUGUAUGAAGAAGUCCUUCGGGUUGUACAGUACUUUCAGCGGGGAGGCGUUACCCGCAGAAGAAGCACCGGCUAACUCCGUGCCAGCAGCCGCGGUAAUUC
rnacentral:rRNA from 1 species